CCAACCCCGACUUGACGACAACGUCAUAAUCCAAGAUGGCAGCGCAGUGCAUCAAGAGUAAAGAGUAAAAGUGAAAAGUGGUGUAUGUUGUACUGCCCAAAGUCUAACUCUGAACGCGAUGCUAAGGUGUCUGUAAGAGUAAAAUAAUAUUGUGUUAUGUGUUGUUUACAACUGGUAUAGCUAACAACAACUAACAACCACUGACAAUUGCUAACGACACAUGACAAUUGUUAACAACAGCUAACAAAGGCUAACAGUAGAUGUCCAUCUUGGUUUUCCAACUUGUUUACUAGAACGCUGUCAACUCGGUUGUAACAUCAUUUCCAGCUCUGACAUCCGAGGUAACUGGAACGCAGCAGUACUACUCCCUGCCAUUAGGAUUCAACUGUUUGCAAGAGCUCAAGUAUAGCCAUGCAUAUGUAAGUACAUCCCUCAAAACCUGAUAUCAGACGCUCUACAUACUGUACUUCUCCAGUGUCUGCUUGUGAUUGGACUUAUCUCUCUUGCUGUAUAUACAAGUCAAAACUAAAACGUUUUCUUUUGCAAGAACCAAAUAUACGUAGUUGUGUUCUAACAAGGAUAUUAACAAGAUAAAGAAAUGAUCCAAAACUGAAUCAGUUUAAAGACCCACUCCGAUAAAUACCACAUUGUUCUUGUUGUCUACAUGUUUAUAUGGCAUUUUUCUGAUGCUACUGGACAUAUCAUGAGAAAAAUAAGUGCCAAAUUGCAUUUUUUUCUGCAUUCAGAUCUCUGGCAGACCCAAAUGGCAGGUUCAGAAACAGUGAGAUUUCCUACAUCACAAUUCCAAGCUCCACCCCCAGAGCCCGGCUAUGUAGGUCAGACUGGUGACAGGUGACUUAAUUUUGGCUAAAAACCAUCGUAAUCACAAUUUAAAGAUCACUAUCAACACUUGUAGUAGUCAAAUAAAAUACGGUGUGAGACUUUAAGUCAUGUACAUUUUCUCUGAUGAUUUCUACAGCUGUUGGCUAUUUCUUCCUGAUGAUUAUUACUGACAUUUCCCCGCUGGUGCACAACUUCUUUGUGUACAAAAACCUCGGCCAUAUAGUUUAAAGUACAACGCAGAGGUUGAGUAUAUAUAAAAACAAAAAUAAUUUUAAUCUAUACGAUUUCUUGACCAUAAGUGGAUCAUUUCACAUGUACACGCGUCCUGUUAUUACCACAUUAAACAUCAACAGUAAUCGCUGCCUUUUCUUGCAAGUACUGAUACACUAUAAAGGACUGCAAUUCAAGUCGAAGUGAAGGUCAAUUCACACGCUGGGCAACAUUCAUAUUUGGCACCUGUCAGAUUGAAACAACAUCAUCUUGACAGGUUGACAGUGCAGUUUGUAUGUUUGCCACAUGAGCGAGGAUGUUGACGUUCAGGCGAGGGGGACACAGGCAGCUUACCACCAAUUAGGAGACCCAGUGACAUUCCGCUCAGAGGAGUUUUUGGCCGAACCUACUUAGAUGAACGACACGCAGCUGAUUUUGAAGUUUACUUUCUCAGUGUGAAAAGCUUUUUCUCAAACAGCUCAUAGAAGAUCUGAAAAAAAGAAAAAAGAAAAGAAAAAAAAAGAAAGCAGUAUUGAGUGACUUCAAGAAGAACACAGACACAGACAGGAGGACACAGCACUAUGGCAACAGGAGCCCA